rnacentral:lncRNA from 1 species
GCUGAAACAAAUAUUCUCACAGAUAUUUACAAAGUGUGGUGGGGUACUUUUAUGUUUAAAAUCGUUAUAUACAUGUUAGACUGUGAUUUUAAAAACAAAUGUUGAUAUCUUUUUAUAAUAUUUACACAAAAAAAACGGUGCGGGAAAUGGACAUGAUUACAUUUCCGGAUGCGGGAAGCAGGAAUAUAAAAAAAAUAAAAAAAUUCUGUUUUGAAAAAAAUAGGUGCGGGCGGGUCCGUCGAACAAGGAAUCAAAUUGGUGUGGCCUAA